UGCGGAAGCAAUCCCGGAAAAACGUUUACAAGUAACGUGAUUUACUGGACGACUGCUGUUAUGUAGAUAUUCAUAAAUGUCCUAGAUACGCUUGAUAGUACGAAAACCAUUGUAGUAUCUAGUUCCUUUGCUCUAGGAGCCUAUUGACGCAGUACUGACAAAUGUUUUUUUAUUUUUUAUAAUAAAUGCUACGUUCAAGUGCCAGUCGGAACUAUGAAACUUAAAAAUGUCCGACUGGUGAACGCGGUACGUGUAUAACUUCAAACAGUUAACAAUUCUGAAAUAUCCGAAUUUCCAAGUUCCGACUGGUACAUGAACGCGGCAUAACCCUGUGGUAGGCUACCAUAACUCGAUUUCUUUUACGUCAUCAGUCCCGAACACACCGAAUGCGUCAUUGCAUCAAUGCUGCAUAACAUUUUGCACAGCUAGGCGACUAUACUGAUGCAGGUAUCUUUUGCAGACGGUUGGACACAUGGAGGAGAGAAUCAUGAAAGCAGUAUCCUCAAAACUAUGUAUUUUUGACACAACUGCUGACAGCUACUGGGACAUAAACACAAAAAAAUGCUGCUUGGAGACAAGUGUCCACGAUAGUAGUAUUGCCAGAAGAAGACUGGAGGAGGAAGUGGAGAGGACUCCGGGACAGGCAUCGGAGAGAGAAGGGCAGAGAAAGAUAAGAGGUCUGGGUCAGCAGCUUCAGGCCAGCAGCCUUGGCGCUUCUGCCACAUUCUUUCUUUUCUGGAUCCAUUUAUUGUGCCUAGGGCAACGAGUGGCAAUUUUACAGCCAGACCCUUUACGUCCUCCUCAAGUGUGGGCGCCACUUUUGCAUCAGAGCCCUCAACGUCAUUUACAAGUGAGACCACCCUCCUCCACCGGUGCAGCGAGACCCUCUACAACGUCUACAUCAUCGUUCAUCUCUGAUGUGUGACCACCACCGGUGCAGCGAGACCCUCUACAACAUCGUUCAUCUCUGCUGUGUGACCACCACCGGUGCAGCAAGACCCUCUACAACGUCUACAACAUCGUUCAUCUCUGCUGUGUGACCACCACCGGUGCAGCGAGACCCUCUACAACAUCGUUCAUCUCUGCUGUGUGACCACCACCGGUGCAGCGAGACCCUCUACAACAUCGUUCAUCUCUGCUGUGUGACCACCACCGGUGCAGCGAGACCCUCUACAACAUCGUUCAUCUCUGCUGUAUGACCACCACCGGUGCAGCCAUGGAAGAUGAUGAAAUGGAGGAAGCACCUCUGGAUCUGAGAUUGUGACCCUCGAGGAAUCAAGGAAAUGCAACUGAGAUUUUCCAACUGUCCUUAUUCCGCUUACUAUGUCCUUGUUAGUAGUUUCUCAAUACAUAGGAUAGCAUUCAUUGUUAGUUGUACAUAGAUUGCAUGAAAAUUGACUGAAUUGACACUGACACACCGGAGAAUUUUGAUGCGCUCGUUUUUUUUUUUACAAGACUAAAGGUGAAAUGUGUGUUUACCUGUAUUGUGGCUACACAUUCACUCUUAGUUUUUUUCAGACUCGCACACACACCUCUCCUCCACUCCUCUCUAUACCUCAGAUCUCCAGUGCCCUGCCCUUUCUGUCUUUAUGGCCAUGUCGGAAGUUCCCCUACUACAUCUAGGCUUUAUGAGUAGUCCCUGUAUCUGUUUUCAGUUGUGCCAAAAAUACAUGCUCUUGUUGUUCUUACA